rnacentral:rRNA from 1 species
AUUGAACGCUGGCGGCAUGCUUUACACAUGCAAGUCGAACGGUAACAGGCCGCAAGGUGCUGACGAGUGGCGAACGGGUGAGUAAUGCAUCGGAACGUGCCCAGUCGUGGGGGAUAACGCAGCGAAAGCUGUGCUAAUACCGCAUACGAUCUAUGGAUGAAAGCGGGGGACCGUAAGGCCUCGCGCGAUUGGAGCGGCCGAUGUCAGAUUAGGUAGUUGGUGGGGUAAAGGCUCACCAAGCCAACGAUCUGUAGCUGGUCUGCGAGGACGAUCAGCCACACUGGGACUGAGACACGGCCCAGACUCCUACGGGAGGCAGCAGUGGGGAAUUUUGGACAAUGGGCGCAAGCCUGAUCCAGCAAUGCCGCGUGCAGGAAGAAGGCCUUCGGGUUGUAAACUGCUUUUGUACGGAACGAAACGGUCUGGGUUAAUACCCUGGGCUAAUGACGGUACCGUAAGAAUAAGCACCGGCUAACUACGUGCCAGCCGCCGCAGUAAGAC